rnacentral:rRNA from 1 species
GAUAAACGCUGGCGGCGUGCCUAAUACAUGCAAGUCGAGCGAACGGACGAGAAGCUUGCUUCUCUGAUGUUAGCGGCGGACGGGUGAGUAACACGUGGAUAACCUACCUAUAAGACUGGGAUAACUUCGGGAAACCGGAGCUAAUACCGGAUAAUAUUUUGAACCGCAUGGUUCAAAAGUGAAAGACGGUCUUGCUGUCACUUAUAGAUGGAUCCGCGCUGCAUUAGCUAGUUGGUAAGGUAACGGCUUACCAAGGCAACGAUGCAUAGCCGACCUGAGAGGGUGAUCGGCCACACUGGAACUGAGACACGGUCCAGACUCCUACGGGAGGCAGCAGUAGGGAAUCUUCCGCAAUGGGCGAAAGCCUGACGGAGCAACGCCGCGUGAGUGAUGAAGGUCUUCGGAUCGUAAAACUCUGUUAUUAGGGAAGAACAUAUGUGUAAGUAACUGUGCACAUCUUGACGGUACCUAAUCAGAAAGCCACGGCUAACUACGUGCCAGCAGCCGCGGUAAUACGUAGGUGGCAAGCGUUAUCCGGAAUUAUUGGGCGUAAAGCGCGCGUAGGCGGUUUUUUAAGUCUGAUGUGAAAGCCCACGGCUCAACCGUGGAGGGUCAUUGGAAACUGGAAAACUUGAGUGCAGAAGAGGAAAGUGGAAUUCCAUGUGUAGCGGUGAAAUGCGCAGAGAUAUGGAGGAACACCAGUGGCGAAGGCGACUUUCUGGUCUGUAACUGACGCUGAUGUGCGAAAGCGUGGGGAUCAAACAGGAUUAGAUACCCUGGUAGUCCACGCCGUAAACGAUGAGUGCUAAGUGUUAGGGGGUUUCCGCCCCUUAGUGCUGCAGCUAACGCAUUAAGCACUCCGCCUGGGGAGUACGACCGCAAGGUUGAAACUCAAAGGAAUUGACGGGGACCCGCACAAGCGGUGGAGCAUGUGGUUUAAUUCGAAGCAACGCGAAGAACCUUACCAAAUCUUGACAUCCUUUGACAACUCUAGAGAUAGAGCCUUCCCCUUCGGGGGACAAAGUGACAGGUGGUGCAUGGUUGUCGUCGGCUCGUGUCGUGAGAUGUUGGGUUAAGUCCCGCAACGAGCGCAACCCUUAAGCUUAGUUGCCAUCAUUAAGUUGGGCACUCUAAGUUGACUGCCGGUGACAAACCGGAGGAAGGUGGGGAUGACGUCAAAUCAUCAUGCCCCUUAUGAUUUGGGCUACACACGUGCUACAAUGGACAAUACAAAGGGCAGCGAAACCGCGAGGUCAAGCAAAUCCCAUAAAGUUGUUCUCAGUUCGGAUUGUAGUCUGCAACUCGACUACAUGAAGCUGGAAUCGCUAGUAAUCGUAGAUCAGCAUGCUACGGUGAAUACGUUCCCGGGUCU